rnacentral:rRNA from 1 species
GACGAACGCUGGCGGCGUGCUUAACACAUGCAAGUCGGACGAUGAAGCUGGAGCUUGCUCUGGUGGAUUAGUGGCGAACGGGUGAGUAACACGUGAGUAACCUGCCCUGGACUCUGGAAUAACCCCGAGAAAUCGGAGCUAAUACCGGAUAGGACCUCGGAUCGCAUGAUCUGGGGUGGAAAGUUUUUCGGUCUGGGAUGGACUCGCGGCCUAUCAGCUUGUUGGUGAGGUAAUGGCUCACCAAGGCGUCGACGGGUAGCCGGCCUGAGAGGGUGACCGGCCACACUGGGACUGAGACACGGCCCAGACUCCUACGGGAGGCAGCAGUGGGGAAUAUUGCACAAUGGGCGCAAGCCUGAUGCAGCAACGCCGCGUGCGGGAUGACGGCCUUCGGGUUGUAAACCGCUUUUAGUAAGGAAGAAGCCGCAAGGUGACGGUACUUGCAGAAAAAGGACCGGCUAACUACGUGCCAGCCGCCGCAGUAACAC